rnacentral:rRNA from 1 species
UACGUAGGUGGCAAGCGUUAUCCGGAAUUAUUGGGCGUAAAGAGCGCGCAGGUGGUUAAUUAAGUCUGAUGUGAAAGCCCACGGCUUAACCGUGGAGGGUCAUUGGAAACUGGUUGACUUGAGUGCAGAAGAGGGAAGUGGAAUUCCAUGUGUAGCGGUGAAAUGCGUAGAGAUAUGGAGGAACACCAGUGGCGGAGGCGGCUUCCUGGUCUGCAACUGACACUGAGGCGCGAAAGCGUGGGGAGCAAACAGG